AGCAGCCGCGGUAAUUCCAGCUCCAAUAGCGUAUAUUAAAGUUGUUGCAGUUAAAAAGCUCGUAGUUGAAUUUCGGGAUCAGUGGGUCGGUCGUGCCACUGGUAUGUACUGGCCCUACUGGUUCCUCCUUCUUGAAGAACUUGUAAUGCCAUUAAUUUGGUGUUGCAGGGAAACAGGACUGUUACUUUGAAAAAAUUAGAGUGUUUAAAGCAGGCAAUCGCUUGAAUACAUUAGCAUGGAAUAAUGAAAUAGGACGUUCGAUCCUAUUUUGUUGGUUUCUAGGAUUGACGUAAUGAUUAAUAGGGAUAGUUGGGGGCAUUAGUAUUCAAUUGUCAGAGGUGAAAUUCUUGGAUUUAUUGAAGACUAACUACUGCGAAAGCAUUUGCCAAGGAUGUUUUCAUUAAUCAAGAACGAAAGUUAGGGGAUCGAAGACGAUCAGAUACCGUCGUAGUCUUAACCAUAAACUAUGCCGACUAGGGAUCGGAUGAUGUUAAUUUUUUAAUGACUCAUUCGGCGCCUUACG
rnacentral:rRNA from 1 species